rnacentral:rRNA from 1 species
UUUUUAAAUUUCCCGUC